UAGGCUGGGUGUGUAAGUGCAGCGAUGUAUUGAGCUAACCAGUACUAAUGAUCCGUGAGGCUUAACCUUACAACACCGAAGGUGUU
rnacentral:rRNA from 1 species